CCUUAUGGUUGUAAAGCACUUUAAGCGAGGAGGAGGGUACUGGUAUUAAUACUACCAGGUACUGGACGUUACUCGCAGAAUAAGCACCGGCUAACUCUGUGCCAGCAGCCGCGGUAAUACAGAGGGUGCGAGCGUUAAUCGGAUUUACUGGGCGUAAAGCGUGCGUAGGCGGCUAAUUGAGUCGGAUGUGAAAUCCCCGAGCUUAACUUGGGAAUUGCAUUCGAUACUGGUUAGCUAGAGUGUGGGAGAGGAUGGUAGAAUUCCAGGU
rnacentral:rRNA from 1 species